CCCACGCGCGGCGCAUGUCAGAGCGUGCGCGCCGCUACUCGAGCAGAGGGGCUAUUCCUGCGAGUCUUCGGGAUUCUAAAUGGCUUCCAAUUGCAUGGGAGGUAGUCGUUGGUUUGUAUAGAGCUUCCAUUAGCUCCGUAAUGAUGACCGAGUGAAAACAAACGCCCGUUAAGUGGCUGUCGGGGACGACCAAUAAGACCGGGAAGACUGCAUCUACGAGGCUCUUAUCAAGAUUAAACACAGGAAUACUGACAAUAACCUGAGGCUCCUCUACAUCGAACCGCUGCUCCAUAUGCCGGCCGUGUCUCCCCAAUCAGACAGCAGCUAAAGCGAGCUCCGCGGCUCCCUCUCUGUCAACUGGAUGGCAGGCGUGGACUCGGAGAGCUGUGCGACCAGCCGGCCGACGGUGGCGAGAAGCAGGUCGAGGCGGUUGACCACCUCGCGUCACCCAUCCUCAGCGCGCGACUCCGGAGGAUCGGUACCCCUCUCCUGGUGAUCCAUAGCUGCCGCUCCCACACCCACGGGAUUUCUAACCAGGGCCCCUGGUCCUAGGGCUCUCGGAGGGAUGACCGUCUCGCCGUCCUCGUCCUCUGACGACACAACAGCCGUACGACAGAAAAGGGAGAGGCAAUAAAGAAGAGAGCUGGCAGCAGAGAAGAGGAGGAGCAGACGGAACCUUCUGGAAGGUUUGAGAAGGAAUGGGGUGGGAGAGGCAUGGCGAUAACACGAUGUCUUUG